rnacentral:lncRNA from 1 species
UAUCUUAAGAACUGUUAAAUUCAGUAUAAGAAUUUGCCAAAUGUAGGACUUGUAUGAAGUUCACCUCAAAAGACCAAUUAGUAUAAGCCACCAAAAAAAAAAUAAUAUUAGAGAGUACACCAUCCUGGUGAAGUGUUCAACAUCUGUCUGUGUGAGAAUCCAUCGAAAGUAAAUUAUGUAUGAAUAUCCUUCUAAGGAAUGCAUUCGUUUCAGAAAAGGAAAUGAGAUCUGUAAGACCCAAUUUUAGCCCGGGCCCAGAUUACAAAAUAAAACAAAUUUAAACCAAAAAUAAUUAAGGUCCAAUGUCCCUUUUACAAAUAUCAGGGCCCAAGACCCAUUACCAAUCUAAUUUCUAACCCCAAAUAACCAAAUCCAAACAGACCCAAAAUAAUACCUAACCCUAAAGCCCAAACAGCCCACAACAAACAAAAUUUUUCAGCAAAAAAAAAAACCCUAGCCACCUUGACCAGCCGCUGCACGUUUCAGCCUCUACUACCCACGCCUCCACCACCCACGUUCUUCACCAUGCGCCCACGCCAUCCACGCCCACGUACUUGUAAAAGUGGUGGAAAGAUUAAUAGAAACGGUUGUAAUAUGGCUAUAAAAGCCCACAAAUAUUCAUUAUUUUUUUAUGAACUCAACACAAAAAAUAGUUUUUUAUGAAUACUCAUACAUUGAAAUAAUAAAAAAGCAACAGCAAUACAUAAUCUAAAUCAGCAAAGGGUAUUUUUUUGUUUGUUUUUUUCAUUUUUAUUUAUUUCCUUUCUUAUUUUUUCGAAUUACACCUACAUAUUUUUUUAAAAUUUUCUUUUUAAAACCUUUUUAUAUGUAUAUUAAAAUAUAAAAAAGAAGAAAAAAAUACCUUUUUUUACCGUCGGCCGCCAUAUAUGGCGGCGGCGGUGGCGUGUGCGGUGGUGGCUUGCCAGAGCAUUGGCCUGAGAUACGCCUGCUGCAGAGAAAAAGAAAAGAAGUUUUGGUUUUUUUUUUAGAAAGAGUUUAAAAUGAUUUUUUUUUGAAAAAGUUUUGGCUUAAAUAAGGAGUAUUAAAUGGAGUCGUUUUGGGCCAAAAUUUAAAUGCCACAACGGCGUCGUUUCAUUGGCCGACCCGCGUUAGUGACCCGACUCAAGGAGGAUCCGCGUGUUUUUGAUUAAUGGACUAUUUUCCAUUUUAGUCCUUUCGCCUUUUAUCAGCUUACAAUUAAUUUUUUUCAUUUUCUAAUUUUGGCCCUGUAAUUUAUUUCGGCUUUCAAUUAAGCCCGCCUUGGGGCUGAGCUUUUUGGAGGGGGGAUUAUUUUCCGUUUUGGUCUCUCUUUAAUGCCCGCGUAUUCAAUUUGGUCCUAUUAUCUUUUAUUCAUUUCGAAUUAACCCCAAAAUUUUGAUUUUCAAUUCAAUUUGGUCCUUUUUCGAUUAUUUUUGCUAUUUUACUAUUCAAUUAAUUAAUUUGAGUUUUAUAUUUACUAUUAUAUUAUUUAUUAUUAGUAUUAUUAUUUUCAUUAUAACUGUCAUCAUUAUUAUUAUUUUAUUUAUUAUUAUUUUAUACUAUUAUAAGCAUUAUAUUAUGAUUACUAUUUUUUUUCCUAUAUCAAUACUAUCAUUAUUAACUUUUAUUUUUACUCUUAUUUUAUUAUUAGCAUAUUAGUAAGUUUAUUAAUGCAUUAAUAUUAUUAUCUUUUAUUUUGUUAUUGUUAUUAUUAUUUUUGUUACUAUAAUUAUUAUUAUCAUACUAUUAAAUUAAUUAGCUAAAUACUUAGUAUUUAUUCGUUUGUUUAUUUACUUAUCAUUUAUAUAUAUAAAUUCAUUUUAUUUUCAUUUUUUUACAAAUUUCAAUUUUAUUUGUUUAUUUCAAGUUUUUACGUAAUACUUAUUUCCAAUUCUUAUACAUAUUAUUUAUUUUAAAUGUAUAUAUAUUAUUUAUUUUGGACUUUUCUUCAUGUGAUUUAUUUUGCUUUUUUUUAUUUUAUAUAUGUAUAUACAUACUUAUUUUAGACUUUGUCAUAUUAUUAUUAUUAUUAUUAUUAUUAUUAUUAUUAUUAUUAUUAUUAUUAUUAUCAUCAUUGUUGUCAUUUUUAUUUUGUUAUAUUUUAUACUUUGUUUCAUUAUCUGCAUGCUUAUUUGUUUUUUUUCAUUUUUUUUUACAUUAUUUGCUCUAAACUUUUUCUUUCAUAAUAUUUAUUUUUAAUAAUCAUCUAUAUAUUAUUAACUUAUUCUUCUUCUUUCAUGGGUUGUUCAUUUGUAAAUUUUCAUAUAUUUAAUAGUUUUCAAAUUGUUUCCAUAUUGUUUUGUAUUUUAUGUGUUGUUUGAAUUUUCAUAUAAUUUCACAUAUUAUUGUUUCAUAUCGUUUAUUAGUCUUUUGUAUUAUUAUUUCAAUUUUUGUUCAUCUAUGUUCGAAACUUGUUAUAUUUUAUUCUAAUUUGUUUCUUGGAUGUGAGCUCAUUACUAUUGUAUGUAUGUUAAUUUGUUUUUUUUUGUUCAUUUGUAUAAUAUUUCAUCUAUGUAUAUUGUUCCAUGUUUAUAACUUUGAUUUUUCUACAUUAUUGCUUCAUGAUUCAAAUUUCAAUGUUUUGAUUGAUAUUGGUCGUCUCAUUUUUAUUUCUAGUAAAACAAGUAAAGGCGUUUUGAGCCGGUUUUAUAAUUGUUUAUUUGAAAAUCUUCCAAAACAAAGGCAAUGUUUGAUGUUUGAAAAUUCAGGAAAUCGUGCCCUAACGUGCUGGGUUUCAAUUUUUUUUGCCUGAAAUAAUCAAAUAUCCCUUUAAAAUUUCAUCUGUGUUUUCUAAAUUUUAAAACAAGGCAAUGAUCUAUGUUUGGAAAUCCGAGAAGUCGUGCCCUAAUGUGCUGGGUUUCGGUUUUUGUUGAACCAAAUAAUUGAAUAUCCUUUUGUAAUUUUCAAAUGUAUGAGCUUUUGGAAAUAAUAAUUGAUAUUGGUUUCGAGGGUUUAAAAGGUCAUGUCCUAACGUACUGGAUGUGAUAUUUUAUUCCUUCGUAACAAGAGAAUUUUAACAUCCAAUUCGAGUUAUUCAAAUGUUCUAAAGGAAACUGUAUUUCAAAAUCUUUUUAAAUUCUAGACAUAAGGACACUAUAUAAUCAAUUAGGUUCCAAUUCUGGGCGUUACAAGGGUGCUAAUCUUUCCUCGUAUGUAACCGACUCCCGAACCUGUUUUCUCAAAUUUUGUAGACCAAAGUCAUUGUUUUAAUAAAUCAAAAUACUUUAUUAAAAUGAUCAAUCUUAAAGUGAACCAAUCACACCUUGAAAAAAAGUUGGUGGCGAUUCCAUACCUCGUUUUAAAGUCGAUCCCCAUUUUUUUCAAAAUUAAAAAUGGUUUCGACAGCUUGGCGACUCCGCUGGGGAUCAAUAAGAGAGUCAAGUCGUAAAAUUGAUUAUUUUUUGUCCUUGUGUCGGAAAAUUGAAAAUUUGAUUUGAAAAAUCAUGCCCCUUUUGUCACAUUUGUUGGUUUCAUGUCAUAUGUUUGUUGUGAUUUGAGAUACGUAGGAUAUUUCUGCAUCAUAUUGCAUGACUGUUGUGGUCGCACCUUUUAAGUGGGAGUGAGAAACUAUGCCGUCGUGAGGUUUUCACCUCCGCAUGAGCUAGUGAACUGCUUCCGGGAUACAUCCGUACCUAUGUCUUCGUGAGGUUUUCACCUCCGCAUGGCCAUAGGGAAAUGUAUUCCCCUGAAUUGAACUCAAUCCACAUGAGCCUAUAAUGGGUGAGGAUUGAGGAAUCUGUUGGUUUAGGUACCCUGUCUUUAGAAACAAACUGCAUAUAGUGAGCCUUAAGAGCCCACCCUAGGUAGAGCCACUUCAAACCCUAGUGGUUACCUAAGUAGGUGCUCUAUUUGCUAUUAAUGUAUUUGUAUUAACGUGUUUUCUUUUGUUUUGGCUAUGAUUACAUUGCAUUUUCAUCAUAUAAAAAAGGUGUUGAUUCAAGUUCAGUUGCUAAAUAGAGAGCUUGUCAUGGAAAAUGAAUUUCUUGAUAAAGUGGAAUACAAUACGGCCGUCUGAAUAUGGUCCGAGUAAACACGACAAGAGAAGGAUGAGAGUCCACAGAGAAGUACACGACUUGGCUUCAAGAUUCAAGCUAACAAAGAUUAUUCUGGAACCGUCAAUGUCUCGACUUACUUAAAGAAGCUGACGAGCAUCAUGAGGAUGAGUGAGUAAGGAUUUGCAGCCCAGAUCAAGCAAAAAGGAGAUAAUUCGCAAGAUUUGAUUUUAGCGUUCGAAUAUGAAGAAAAAGAUCGAUGUCUUCGCCUGGAGUAUAUGGGCAAGCUCGUACAUGUUUCUGCUUUAUGUAAAGAGAUUUGCUAUCUAGAAAAGUUUUUCUAACAGAAUUGAACCAGAAUCAACGUCUCUUUGUGCAUUCAUUUCAUGCAUCUGCAUUGCAUUUCAUUAUAUGCAUUGAAUAUCAAAAAAAGACUUUAAUUAGUUUAAAAACUAUUUCAGUUAAUCUAGAAACCAAUAAAAACCUACCAAGUACGCAUCUUUACUACAUACGGAAAAAACUAAAGCUAUGGAUUAAAGGUUGGAAAAAUUGGAGCAAAUGCAGAAAGAGAUGCAGGAUCAACUGCAAGUACAGAUGCAAGAACAGUUGGCCAAAAUUUAGCAGGAUAUGAAGGAUCAGAUGCUGGAAUCUCAAAAGAAUAUGAUGAGCCAAUUGACCCAGUUACUAGUUGGAAGGCCGGAAAAAGGGAAGAGUCCCAUGAUCAGUACUGAGGACGACAGUGAGGACCUUGCUUACCCUCCAGGUUUCACCCCAAAAAAUGCCUAAGCACCACCUCAAAGAGUGUCUGUCAGUAUCGGACCCCAAUGUCAGAUUGGUACUUCGGCACCAAUAAACUUCCCAAAGGGCUCGUGUUCCAACCUUGAAAAAAAUCGGGCAAAUCCUGUAAUCCCUGACUUCAAUGAUGUAGCGAAAACAGGAAGGGCAAGAGCGGACCUCCUAAAGCAAUUGGAAGACCGAUACAAAUAGUUGGAGAAGAAAUUCAAGGCAUUGGAAAGCGCUGAUUAUCAUUGCGGAAUGGAUGCUAAGGAGUUGAGUCUGGUCCCAGAUUUGGUACUCCCCCCGAAAUUCAAAAUGCCAGAGUUUGAAAAAUACAACGGAAACAGUUGCCCUGAGGCUCACAUCACGAUGUUUUUUCGGAGAAUGAUUGGUCAUGUUAAUAAUGAUCAGUUAUUGAUUAACUGUUUCCAGGACAGUUUGACUGGGGUUGCGGCCAAAUGGUACAACCAGCUGAAUCGUACCCAAGUUAAAUCAUGGAAGGACUUAGCACAAGCCUUCAUGAAGCAAUUUGGUCAUGUGACGGACAUAGCGUUUAAUAGGAUCACGUUACAGAACAUGGGGAAAAAUUCGAGUGAAAGUUUCAGGCAAUACGCUCAGAGGUGGAGGGAAGUGGCUACACAAGUCCAACCGCCUCUUCUGGAAAAGGAGACCACGAUGCUUUUCAUCAAUACUCUGAAAGCCUCGUUCAUUGACCGUAUAUUGGGAAGCGCUACUCUGAGCUUUUCAGAUAUAGUAAUGUCUGGUGAGAUGAUUGAAAAUGCGAUAAGAAGUGGAAAAAUAAACAUGGGAGAAAACACUAAAAGGUCAACCCUGAGAAACAAGGAAAAUGAAGUGAACAUCGUGAGCAUGCCUUCCAAAUUGGUCAACAUAGCCCAACCGAGGGCUGUAACCACUAGUUAUCAAGGCUCUUCAAGGCAGGAAUUCAACUCGAGGCCAAAGUUUAUACCCAUCCCGACGCCAAAGUUAUUCAUAAUUUAAAACUUAAAUGUUUAAUAAUAGUUGUAUAGUAAAAUAUGUUUAUAUUUUUAAAAGUGUAAAAUUUCUUAUCAUUUAUAUUAAUUUAUAAUUAUUCUAUUAUGUAUUGUUUACUAUAAUCUAGUCCAUAAAUUGUUAAAUUUCCAAAACUUUCUUACAACAAAUUUAAUUAAAAUCAAUUUAAAAGUUUAGAAUAGAUUAAUCUAAGUUACAAAAUUAAACAAAGUUUAAUAUUUGAAAUUUCAAUAAAUUAAUAGAACUUUUAUAUAUAUAUUUAAAUUUUAUUGGUUUUAACAGAAAUUAAUACAUGUAAAAUUCAUUUUUUUAAAUAUUUAUUCAUUUAAGUAUAAAAAAAAAAUCACAUAUAAUAUAUAUAAUAGUUUUUUCUAAAAGUUUAGUAAUAUAAAUGUGUCUAAUAAUUAAUAAUUUUAAUAGAAAUAAUUUAAUAAAAUGAUAUUUUGGAUAGAAAUAAAAUGGGGUUUAUUUCCUUCACUUCUUUUUUUUUAAUAAAUUAUUACUAAAGUAGUCUAAUAAUUAAUAAUUUUAAAUAGAAAUAAUUUAAUAAAAAUGAUAUUUUUGGAUAGAAGUAAUUUUAUUAAUAAUUUAAUAAAAGGAUAUUUUUAAUCCAUUUUGAUAUUUUUUAUUUUUUAUAUUAUUUAUGUAAAAAAAAGUCAAAAUAGUUUAAAUUAAUUUAUUUAUGACCAAAAUAAUUUAUGGUAAUUUGCUUAUUCCAUUUUGAAUUUGCUUUGAGAUCAUUAGGUUUCAAUUAGUCAGUUCCUGCCUAAUCUCAGCUGUUUAUGGUAAUAAUUUAAUAAAAGGAUAUUUUUUCAAUUUAUUUUUAAUCAUUUUGGUCAUAUAUAAAUUAAUUUAAAGUAUUUUAACUUUUUUUACAUAAAUAAUAUAAAAAAAUCAAAAUGGAAUAAGUAAAAAUUAACCGGAAAUAGUUGAUUUUUUUACAUAACUAUUAUAAUAAUAAUUACUAAAAUAAGAUAAAUUAAAAAUUAAAUACGAAUAUAGGCAAAAUAAUCUGCUUGCAAAACACCUCUAAUUUAAAAGUUUUUUCUUAUUAAAUUAAUUGGCUUCUCAUCUCUUGGUGAACUAAAACUAUUUCUAAUUUUUUAUCAAAUAAACAACUUUUAAUUUAAAAGUUUUAAAAUCCAUUCUCAGAUCCAUUAUUCAUAAUAUUCGUUCUAUUGAGAAGAGUUUUGAAAGUGUUUUUUACCUUUUUGUUUCUCGGGAGAUUAACAAGGCGGUUCACACUCUUGCUUUGGAAGGAAGGAGACGACAAGUCUCGUGCAUCUGGAUUGAUGGGGUUCCUGAAUCGGUGAAGGUUCCUGAAUCGGUGAAGAAGAUGGUUGUUAUGGAUCGGAC